GUCUACGGCCAUGCCACUCUGAACACGCCUGAUUUCGUCUGAUCUCAGAAGCUAAGCAGGGUCAGGCCUGGUUAGUACUUGGAUAAGAGACCACCUAGGAAUAUCAGGUGCUAUAGGCU
rnacentral:rRNA from 1 species